AUGAUGCAACAAUUAUUCGUGUCAUAUCAGAGAAUCAAACCCCUAUCUCCCCUUCUAUGGUUAAGGUCGGAUGAGGAGGAAGAGGGAACCUGGGGGGAUCCAGGGCAGGAGGUUUUUUGGUGGAAAAAUACAAAUCUGUUCGCCCUGCAGGACGCCGGAUGCCGCCUUCAGCUGCUGCUGCAGACACCUGCCUCCCUCUCCACCCGGGGCCGCUGCGCCUGUCCGGUGAAGUUGAACAGAAGAGACGGGAGGGUGCAGAAGGGCCCCAAAGCUGCACUGCAGACAGCACUUCAUCUCGAACGUCCAAGUCCUACUUUAAGAAGUCCUGACUAAUAUUAAACAGCAGCAAUCUCGAUCGACAGCCGUCUUAAAGAACUGUCCCCAUAACUGUUCCAAAGCAAUCUCAAAGCUUUCUUGGACGGAGAAGGACCCCCCCCCCCCCCCCGCCCAAGGCUCUCUACCACCUACCUGGCGGCGUUUAACAUCCAGGUAGCCCUCAGAGAAAAAGGACCCUGUUUUCCCGCCUGGGGGCGGGGAAGGAGCUUGCGCAUGUUGCGUCUUUCUAUUCCGCACAGAAUUAGGAGCUGGGCCCUUGAGGGAUUCCCUUUUCUUAACUACUCUCUGAGGAUCCGGCCAAUUCUGGCGGGAUUUGCUGGGCUCGAGUAGAACUUAGCGCCCACGGGGUGGGGUGUGAUGGGAGGAAAAGGCGGUAGUGGUGGGUGGAGGGGGACGCAUCUCCUUUCUUUCACAUAAUUGGGGCCGGCGAAACCAGAGGGGGUAGCGCGGUAGGGAGUGUUAUUUACCGCCCUCCACCUGAAAUAAGCAAGACCAAUAACGCGCCACGGUUUUCGCCCUGUUUACUCCAUCCCCAUUCAGUGAUUGGCAAAACAGGCCCUGAAGGCAAAGGCAAUAAUUGCUCCCCGCUCUCCUUACUAGGGAAAAGUGUGUAGGCAUUUGAAGUGUACUAAAAAUAAACGAAGGAGCGAGAAAAUGAAAAGGGGACA
rnacentral:lncRNA from 1 species